CCUACGGGUGGCAGCAGUGAGGAAUAUUGGUCAAUGGGCGCGAGCCUGAACCAGCCAAGUCGCGUGAGGGAAGACUGUCCUAUGGAUUGUAAACCUCUUUUAUCGGGGAGCAAAAGAUUCCACGCGUGGCGUUUUGUGUGUACCCUAUGAAAAAGCAUCGGCUAACUCCGUGCCAGCAGCCGCGGUAAUACGGAGGAUGCGAGCGUUAUCCGGAUUUAUUGGGUUUAAAGGGUGCGCAGGGGGAAGAUCAAGUCAGUGGUAAAAUUGAGGGGCUCAACCUAUACGUGCCGUUGAAACUGGGAGUCUUGAGUGAAGGAGAGGUGUGCGGAAUGCGUGGUGUAGCGGUGAAAUGCAUAGAUAUCACGAAGAACUCCGAUUGCGAAGGCAGCAUACCGGCGCUCAACUGACGCUCAUGCACGAAAGUGUGGGUAUCGAACAGGAUUAGAUACCCUUGUAGUC
rnacentral:rRNA from 1 species